rnacentral:rRNA from 1 species
AACGAACGCUGGCGGCAUGCCUAAUACAUGCAAGUCGAACGAGACCAUCGGGUCUAGUGGCGCACGGGUGCGUAACGGGUGGGAACCUGACCUUAGGGUCGGAAUAACUACACGAAAGGGGUGAUAAUACCGGAUAAUGUCUACGGACCAAAGAUUUAUCGCAUUUGGAUGGGCACGAGUGGGAUUAGCUAGUUGGUAGGGUAAAAGCCUCCCAAGGCGACGAUCCAUAGCUGGUCUGUGAGGAGGAUCAGCCACACUGGGACUGAGACACGGCCCAGACUCCUCCGGGAAGCAGCAGUGGGUAAUAUUGCACCGUGGGCUAAAUCCUGAUCCAGCACUGCCGCUUGAGUUCUGAAGGCCUUAGGGUUGUAAAGCUCUUUUACCCGUGAUGAUAUUGACAGUACCGGGAGAAUAAGCUCCGGCUAACUCCGUG